rnacentral:rRNA from 1 species
CCUACGGGGGACAGCAGUGAGGAAUAUUGGUCAAUGGGCGUAAGCCUGAACCAGCCAAGUCGCGUGAGGGAAGACGGUCCUAUGGUUUGUAAACCUCUUUUGUCGGGGAAUAAAGGCGCCCACGUGUGGGCGGAUGAGUGUACCCUAAGAAUAAGCAUCGGCUAACUCCGUGCCAGCAGCCGCGGUAAUACGGAGGAUGCGAGCGUUAUCCGGAUUUAUUGGGUUUAAAGGGUGGGGAGGCUGUCUAUUAAGUCAGGGGUUAAAGAUCGUGGCUCAACCGCAGAACAGCCGUUGAAACUGGCAGACUUGAGUGGGUGAGAAGUAGGCGGAAUGCGUGGUGUAGCGGUGAAAUGCAUAGAUAUCACGCAGAACUCCGAUUGCGAAGGCAGCAUACUGGGGCACUACUGACGCUGAGGCACGAAAGCGUGGGUAUCGAACAGGAUUAGAUACCCGAGUAGUC